GAGGUUCAAAAAACACGGUUAUGGCUACGUUCAUGCAGCAAAGAUCAUGAGCUUCUUCCACAUGAAAUAGUGCAAGGAUGCAGUGCAUCUGAAAAGAUCUCCAGUAAAAUAGAAGUGAUUUUCUCCUAAACUUUGGAAAUGGAGUAUUAAAAACUGCGUGACCCUGAGGCAUGCUGAGCACCUGGAAGAACACUUUAGAAUCAGCCAGUGUCUCCAGAAACCCUGACCACGUGUCACCUGAUGGACGUAUUUGUAUUGCAGAAGCC